AUGCAAGUCGAGCGGGGGAAGGUAGCUUGCUACCGGACCUAGCGGCGGACGGGUGAGUAAUGCUUAGGAAUCUGCCUAUUAGUGGGGGACAACAUCUCGAAAGGGAUGCUAAUACCGCAUACGUCCUACGGGAGAAAGCAGGGGAUCUUCGGACCUUGCGCUAAUAGAUGAGCCUAAGUCGGAUUAGCUAGUUGGUGGGGUAAAGGCCUACCAAGGCGACGAUCUGUAGCGGGUCUGAGAGGAUGAUCCGCCACACUGGGACUGAGACACGGCCCAGACUCCUACGGGAGGCAGCAGUGGGGAAUAUUGGACAAUGGGGGGAACCCUGAUCCAGCCAUGCCGCGUGUGUGAAGAAGGCCUUAUGGUUGUAAAGCACUUUAAGCGAGGAGGAGGCUACUUUAGUUAAUACCUAGAGAUAGUGGACGUUACUCGCAGAAUAAGCACCGGCUAACUCUGUGCCAGCAGCCGCGGUAAUACAGAGGGUGCGAGCGUUAAUCGGAUUUACUGGGCGUAAAGCGUGCGUAGGCGGCUUAUUAAGUCGGAUGUGAAAUCCCCGAGCUUAACUUGGGAAUUGCAUUCGAUACUGGUGAGCUAGAGUAUGGGAGAGGAUGGUAGAAUUCCAGGUGUAGCGGUGAAAUGCGUAGAGAUCU
rnacentral:rRNA from 4 species